CCUACGGGGUGCAGCAGUGAGGAAUAUUGGUCAAUGGCCGGGAGGCUGAACCAGCCAAGUCGCGUGAGGGAAGACGGCCCUACGGGUUGUAAACCUCUUUUGUCAGGGAGCAAGGUGCAGGUCGGGACCUGCUGUGAGAGUACCUGAAGAAAAAGCAUCGGCUAACUCCGUGCCAGCAGCCGCGGUAAUACGGAGGAUGCGAGCGUUAUCCGGAUUUAUUGGGUUUAAAGGGUGCGCAGGCGGAGGCACAAGUCAGCGGUAAAAUCGCGGGGCUCAACCCCGCUCCGCCGUUGAAACUGUGUGCCUUGAGUGCGCGAAGGGUAGGCGGAAUGCGUGGUGGAGCGGUGAAAUGCAUAGAUAUCACGCAGAACUCCGAUCGCGAAGGCAGCCUACCGGCGCGCAACUGACGCUCAUGCACGAAAGCGUGGGUAUCGAACAGGAUUAGAUACCCCUGUAGUC
rnacentral:rRNA from 1 species